UACGAAGGGGGCUAGCGUUGCUCGGAAUCACUGGGCGUAAAGCGCACGUAGGCGGGUCCUUAAGUCAGGGGUGAAAUCCCGGAGCUCAACUCCGGAACUGCCUUUGAUACUGGGGAUCUUGAGUCCGGAAGAGGUGAGUGGAACUCCGAGUGUAGAGGUGAAAUUCGUAGAUAUUCGGAAGAACACCAGUGGCGAAGGCGGCUCACUGGUCCGGUACUGACGCUGAGGAGCGAAAGCGUGGGGAGCAAACAGG
rnacentral:rRNA from 1 species